GCCUUCUUAGCUCAGUGGUAGAGCGUUGCACUUGUAUGUCACCAACCAUAGCUUCUUCAUAGUACAAUGCAAAGGUCAGUCGUUCAAUCCGGCUAGGAGGCA
rnacentral:tRNA from 1 species